ensembl:lincRNA
UUUUAAGGAGUUUAUCCAGGCUUCUGGCUUAAGGUUUUCUUUGGUGAAAAUCAGCCUGAUGUGCUUUAGUGAUUCUGAAGCUGUGUUAGGAAGAGAUUCAUUCUGAUUUUAGCUGGUUUGCAUGCUUUUGUGUAAGAUUUAGCUGAAACAAUGGACUUCAUGGGGAGACCAGGGAAACUUUCCUUUGAAACUGAAUAUUCAGCUCAGACCCAGGUAGAAUAGAGGUGACUUGGCAGAAGAGGAGGAGUUUCCAAGUCACAAGGACCACACUUGUAAACGUGAGCACUGUCCAGCUUCUGACAGUUUCACCCGGGGAAAUUUUGUGCAGUGUCUUCAGCAUUCAGAAGCCAUGAAUACUAAGGAAGGUACAACUAGUUGAAGAUAUCAGUGAGGCGUGGGAAAGAAAACAAAAAGAAUGACAAUAGGGCCUUACUAAUAAGGAUCAUAAUUUGAAACCAGCCGCUAUCCACAUGUGGUGAUGGAGCUGCUGAAAUGAGA